GGGGGUAUAGCUCAGUGGUAGAGCAUUCAACUGCAGAUCGAGAGGUCUCCGGUUCAAACCCGGAUACUCCCU